ACUGAUUUAGGGUUAGAGAAUAUUGAAGUUGCUCGAUUUAUGCUUCAAUAUCGUGGUCUGAAUAGAGGCAGCUGCAUAACAGGUAAUUCCAAUUCCAAUGGACAUGUGUUAGCAUUGGGGUAAAUGAAUGUAUUUUGAAGAAUAGUUAUACUCGAUGGAUGAAAACCCAUUGGAGGUAAGGAUUUGCAACCAGUUGAAAACAUCAAAACACUAGGAAUUCUAGAACCUGUAAUAAUUAAAGUAUAUUAACAUCAUGAUUUAAAGAAUGUUGCCAAAACAACAACAUGUACAAAUUCUAAAAAAAUAUAACAUACUUUGUGAUGAAAGA